rnacentral:rRNA from 1 species
UACGGGGGGGGUAAGCGUUGUUCGGAAUUACUGGGCGUAAAGGGCUCGUAGGCGGCCAACUAAGUCAUACGUGAAAUCCCUCAGCUUAACUGGGGAACUGCGUGUGAUACUGGAUGGCUUGGAUUUGGGAGAGGGAUGCGGAAUUCCAGGUGUAGCGGUGAAAUGCGUAGAUAUCUGGAGGAACACCGGUGGCGAAGGCGGCAUCCUGGACCAAUAUUGACACUGAGGAGCGAAAGCCAGGGGAGCAAACGGG